AAUAAGUGCAGUUUUGCAUUAUUCACGUUUAACAUUUGACCGUUCGUCUUAUUUGAAAAAUUUUAUGAUUAAUAAUUUUAUUGCUAUUAGAUGAUAAAAUAUGAAUAGUACUUUACGUGUGACUAAAUAUUUUCAAUUUUUUCAUAAAUUUUUCAAAUAAAACGGACGGUCAAACAUUGGAUACGGAUAUCCAUGGCUGCACUUAUU
rfam:Oryza barthii chromosome 3, whole genome shotgun sequence.